GACUUCAUCAGAAGAACCCCUCAGUCUGCUCCGUCCUCUCUGUGCUGAGAGUCUAGAGACGACAUCCAGAGCAACCACACACAACCUUCCUCCCUCUCUGUUCUGAAAAAAGCCUCGUACCAAACAGCAUUUUAAUUAUUAGGUGAGCAGCGUAUAAAUGUUACAGGUGAAUAAUGUAGUUUUCUUUGGGUAUCAAUGGCACUAAAAGGUAAACGGCCAACAAGCUUAAAGCAGGAACCACAGCAGGUUAAAACAAACUCAGCAUAACUAUAGAAACUAUUGUUGAUUAAAUGGAUUUGCUUUUUUUAAAGAGAACUUUUCUUAAAGGUAUAAUAU